rnacentral:tRNA from 1 species
CGGGGUGUAGCGCAGGCCGGUAGCGUAUAUGUUUUGGGAACAGGAGGUCAUAGGUUCAAGUCCUAUCACCCAGA